ensembl:lncRNA
GGGCAGCCCCUGGGAAAUGUCUAGGUGAGAACUCAUAAGUAACAUUAAGCCUGGAUUUAGGGAACAAGAAGCCACUCUGCCUCCCAGGAGUGGCCUUAAGAUAGGGAGGGCAAUCCCUAAAUUUAAAAGUUUAAUGAUCAGAGGUUGACUUAAUAGGCUUGUAUCUUAAAUUGCUUUCUCUUACUGGAUUUCUGUCCUCACACAUUUUAGUUUUAUUGGUCUUAGCCCUGAAAACCAUUACAGUGAAGUGUUUAGAGCCAAGAUGAACUUUGAUUUUCAUAGUGGCUAACCAUACACAGAGAUGCGGCAGAUCACCACAUGCAGAAGUAGGAAACAGCAGAAACCUGGAUUAGGAGAGGGGCAUAAUCAAAACGGCGGCUGUGUGAGAGGAAACAAGCCUCGCCACCCAUUGGAUGAAAUUCAAGUUGUUCAAGGUACACUUUCCGAGCCUUGCCACCAGAGUUGUGGGGUUCCAGACCUGAACCUGGAACAGCAAGCUCACAAGAGAGGAGAGGCAUGGGAAGUGCUGGAACAGGGCUGCACAGGCCCCCUGGUAAGUGGGGAAGGUUUCUGUUGGAAGUGGCAGGUACAUGGGGAGGAUCAGGGAAUGUGUAGGGAGCAGGAAUUCUAGUUUAGCUUCCCUGCCGCCAAGCCAGUCUCCCUGACAAUAGUAGUUAUCCUAAAGCCAUCUUAAACAAGGCUUGGAUGAGAAUAUCACAUCCAUAAUCUUUUCCGCAGGCUGAGUCCUUGUUUACUUGACAAAUCUUAAUGGGGCUUUGCUUCAGGUCUUUUACAAUCUUAUUUCCUAUUGUCUGGAAUCUUUAAACACUCAAUUUUUGUAACAAAGCAGUCUUUUCUCUUUGUCAUCCUUAUAUCAGGUGACAGUUUCACUCAAUAUUGUACCACAGCAUGACCUGAGUCUCAAUCCUUCUAGGCUACAGUAUCUUUUUUGUGUGUCUGCGCCACUCAACACCUAACUAGUAGGUCGUGUAUGUAAGUAACUAGCCCCAAUAUCAAGGUAUCGAUUUCUUUAUUAGCUAGGAUAACACUAGCUGUUGUAACAAGUAAACACCAAGAUUUCAGUGGUUUAAGACAAUAAAAUGAUUUUCAUGACAACCCAAUAGUCUAUUCUUUGUAGGCAGGGAUUUUUCCAUCAUAUGGUUCCAUCAUUUCCAGGGUCUUAUCCUCUGCUUCUAGGAGAAGGGUAAAGAGCAUGGAGGAGCACUGGGGACAUUAUUAUGGACCAGUUGGGCACAUGUCUCCUACUUAAUUCUUCAAAGCAAUUUCAAGGGAGCUAGGAAAUGUUAUUCUUGGCUUAAUAGAUAUUUCCUGGUGACAACACCACAAAUUUGUGGGGGAUGUUGACAAAUUGGUAAUAACCCCUGUGUAACUAUAGUGCUUUACUGUUUAUAAAGCAUUUCAAUGUAAAUAAUGAAAUUGGCCUAAAAUAUUAUCUCCAUGUCAUAAAGGGAGAAAUGGAUUCAGAGACGUUAACUGGUGCAGGAUUAUACAACUAGACUUCUGGUUUCAGAUCCAGUGUGUAAAGAGCGUGGAAGUUACCACUCCUAUCCUUAUAACAACAACAACAACAAAAAUUGAAAGAAAAAAACCCCUGAAAAUCGAU